rnacentral:rRNA from 1 species
CUUUUGGAGCGGCCGAUGCCUGAUUAGCUAGUUGGUGGGGUAAUGGCCUACCAAAGCUUCGAUCAGUAGCUGGUCUGAGAGGACGGCCAGCCACACUGGGACUGAGACACGGCCCAGACUCCUACGGGAGGCAGCAGUGGGGAAUUUUGGACAAUGGGCGCAAGCCUGAUCCAGCCAUGCCGCGUGAGUGAAGAAGGCCUUCGGGUUGUAAAGCUCUUUCAGCCGGGAAGAAAAGGUUGCGAUUAAUAAUCGCAAUUUAUGACGGUACCGGAAGAAGAAGCACCGGCUAACUACGUGCCAGCAGCCGCGGUAAUACGUAGGGUGCGAGCGUUAAUCGGAAUUACUGGGCGUAAAGGGUGCGCAGGCGGUUUUGUAAGUCAGAUGUGAAAUCCCCGGGCUUAACCUGGGAACUGCGUUUGAAACUACAA